UCAUGGGUUUGGAUUUAUGGCAGGCCCAUCCUGCUGGGUCUCUCAUAGUGUCUCAUGCCAGAGCAGACUGUGGCCUUGAACCAUUGCUUGGCCUCUGCCCUAGGCUGCCAGCACUGAAGUGGGUUACACAGUG